rnacentral:sRNA from 1 species
GUUCUUCCAUUGCGGGGAAGGAUGAGAAGCUUCGACUAAGGUUCGAUUCGAGCACAGCGAGAAAGCGUUGCCGCAGGCAACGACCCGAAGGGCGAGGCGCAGCCGCCAUCCGACGCUUUCACUGA